rnacentral:lncRNA from 1 species
CGAACAGUCAGAUUCCUGGGCAAAAUUCAGGGCCGGUGAGAGCUAAACAUGAGCUCCCGAGCGCGUCACAAUCGGAGGAUAUGACUCGGGCCCGACAGAGUCGUUACGAACGUGUAUCUCGGAUCAUGACAUGCAACUGGGUUUUAAGUUUUAAGCACCGUUAUUUCCACUGGUGUUUGAAACUACUUGUUCAGUGUUAACAUUGUCAUGCGUGCUAUCGACAACUCAUGCACGGAGCUAUUUAAUUUGCCAUUUUCGACCAGUCUUGGCAACGCGUCGAAGUUCCAGAUGGUCCUGUUUGACUCUAAGUUUACGCUUGAAGUUAUGGUGGUUUUCUGGAAACGGCCAUAUAACGCUCAAAACUCCACCAACGCAUUGGGUCGCUGCUAGCCAUCGCUGGGAGCUCUGUCUUACCGCUAACGGCAUAGGACGUGGCUGAGUGUAAAUGAAGCCCUGCACUCGUUGCUACUAGUGACGUGGUCGUUGUUGUACCCCAACUGGAAACGAAUCUUUCGACUAUGCCGCGCCUACCGCUACUUCUCCCCUUAGGAUUACUUUGCUCCAUACUUCUACUGUAGUUAUUGCUGCUCUCUUACAGUUACAAUAUGAAAGCUUUACUCGAUCACGUUAAAUAUGGUCGCCACUGCUGCGCAGCUCCUAGCUGCUUUAUCGUAGUAACAACUUUCGACGUAGAUGUAUUUCUCUGCUUGUACGUCUGCUCCACUCACUUCAGGCGCAGCUGAGAUGAAGACGACGGAGAUAAAGGAAACGCCCGCGGGUAGCUGAGCUGAUUGGAAACUAAUGAAGAGCAGAGCCCGUAUAAUGACAGAUAUCCUUACGGCAGCAGUAGCAGCCGCGGCGGCGACACAACGAAACGGUGUCGAAUACAAGCAAAGCAGGCUUUCAACUCUAAGGGCCGGGGGCGAGGACAAGGCUAAGGGCAGACAAAAAAAAUUGGCGGUGAAACGAUGAUACAUACUGGAAUAGCAGACCCAAGUGCUUGCUUAUUUCCUUGCUGGCUCGCUCACACUUCACGAACGAAAGUGGAUCAGGAAUAGAAAUAACGAUGACGACAACGUCAAUAGUAAUAACACAGCAGAAUGGCACAACUGCAGAUAGUUCUCAAGCCUUAUGGCGUUUCAGACGAUGGCGAUGAACGUCAGCAGCAGCAACAACAAUGGCAACAAAUUUGAAAAGUGUGUUGCUAACUUUAACUAGACCUAGAAAAGGACUGGAUAUCAAAUUUGUCCGUUUUGGCACAUAUUUAGUUUUUAGCGAGUGGAAAACAAACAUGAAGCGUGACACUCUGUAAAUCUGUAAUCGCCUUAACGGCUGGCUGGCAGGCGGGGAAUAUCCAGUUAGUUUAUUAACAGACGAAAUGUCCAACCAAAAUAUAUACCUCCGAUAUGACGUUAUAUCAGUCAGACGAACUCGUUUGUUUAUAUUUGUUAGAUAGCAUUUAAGAACAAAUCAUAGGAUAUAACAAGAGCAUAUAUUAGUUUUACAUAAUUUAUAUUCGGGUGCCAGAAACAGUCCACUGUAAUCUAAUAUAAUUGAGACGCCACAUAUUUAUGAUAUAAUAUUAAUUAUCGUAAGCAGUUUAGAAGCGGCAACCAGGCUCAUCCUAA